GAUUUGCACGAGAGAUGGAAGUGGCAUCCUUUUAUAAAGCUUCGCGGAAUAAAAGAUACAACGAACAGCUCGACCCGGA
rnacentral:sRNA from 1 species